GAUAUAUAUAUCCCUUUUUCUCUUUCUAUCUUUCUUCUUGCUAAGGAGAAAUGCGGGUGCGAAGGAAACACGUCACGUGGCUCGUCCCUUCGUCGGCGAGUAUCGCACGUGACGCAACCCUAACGCAACGUAACGCAAUGCAACGUAAUGCAACGCAAUGCAACGCGACGCGACAUGACAUGACAUGACAUGACACGACAUGACACGACACGACACGAGGACGCGUGUUCGGCUUCUCGCGAUGAAGAGGAAAAAGUGUCAUCAUCGGAAGUCGUGAGGGAGGAAAAGACGAAAACCGAAAAAAAAAAAAAAAAAACAAAUAAUUCAAACGGCGACAGUCCAAGAAAAAAAUAGAAGAAAAAAACAGAUUAAAAAGUCAAAUGGCAAGGAUCACGAGUUCUACUAAAUAUACGAGGUCUCAUUUCGUACGCGAGGAAACCUUCGGCGACCCUAAGUUCUACAGUCUCAUAAUCGACGAAAAGAACGAAAAAGGAAAGGAGGGGAGGGGUGGAGAAAAAAAUUUGCGAGUACUGGUGUGUAUUAUCUACAAAGCAUUGGAACACAAUCAACAUUGGGAUAUAUAUGGGUGAGAUAAUGAAAUUUUCCAUUUGUAUAUUCACCGAUCGUGAAAGAUAUCACAAUCAUAUCUGUUCGCAUUUAUUUACACGAAACGAGAUUUUAAUAAUCUCGACGAACGUAGGAAUGUUGGAUAUAAUCAUCGACCGUAUGAAAAUCAACGAGAGAAACAGAUAAAUAAAUAGAUGGAAAGAAAAAGAGAG